GACGAACGCUGGCGGCGUGCCUAAUACAUGCAAGUAGAACGCUGAAGGAGGAGCUUGCUUCUCUGGAUGAGUUGCGAACGGGUGAGUAACGCGUAGGUAACCUGCCUGGUAGCGGGGGAUAACUAUUGGAAACGAUAGCUAAUACCGCAUAAUAGUAGAUGUUGCAUGACAUUUGCUUAAAAGAUGCAAUUGCAUCACUACCAGAUGGACCUGCGUUGUAUUAGCUAGUUGGUGAGGUAACGGCUCACCAAGGCAACGAUACAUAGCCGACCUGAGAGGGUGAUCGGCCACACUGGGACGGAGACACGGCCCAGACUCCUACGGGAGGCAGCAGUAGGGAUUCUUCGGCAAUGGACGGAAGUCUGACCGAGCAACGCCGCGUGAGUGAAGAAGGUUUUCGGAUCGUAAAGCUCUGUUGUAGGAGAAGAACGAGUGUGAGAGUGGAAAGUUCACACUGUGACGGUAUCUGACCAGAAAGGGACGGCUAACUACGUG
rnacentral:rRNA from 1 species